rnacentral:lncRNA from 1 species
GGGGGGUUCUGUAUGACAUCAGAGCUGUGCUUUAGGAAAAUCACCUUGGAAACUGAGAGGAAUAUGUGGGAGAGAGUUUAGGCAAUGAAGACUGACCAUUAGAAUAAUAGUCCAGGCAUUUAAUGGAGAACCUGUAUCAGGAUGGUAACUUUGUAAGAAGAGAGAAGGGAAUGCAUACAAGAGAUGUAAAGCUCUUAUAAUACAGAUUGUAAUCCAUCCAAGUCUUCUCAUCCUAUGCAACUAUUAUCCGGGAACUCUCCUAACUUCACCAUAAGAAGACUACUCAUUCUCUUGACAUUCUGAAGAUACAGUUCCUCAGUAAUUUCAGCUGGUUAGUCUGGUCACCUUCCCGUUUUCUCUGAUCCUUCUGAAGACAAAACUGUUUAAAUAGUUGUACCUUCACUUACCUGAGAUGACUGCAUUUCCCAGGUGAAUAAAGAGAGUUUGGACAAAAUGCAUUCUCACAUCCACAUCUGCUGUAUCCAGCAUCUACACAGAUAUUAUGAAACAACUUAAUCAAGCCGCUGGGACUUUGCUAGCCAUGGAUGAGAAAAGCACAGCAAAUACACUGACGCCCUUCGACUGUGAAUCCAAAGCUGGGAGAGACAAGGAAGGCCUGGCAGAUGAGGUGAAGGAGAGUUGGCGACAAG